rnacentral:misc_RNA from 1 species
UCCCAACGGUGGAGCUAGAGAA